rnacentral:rRNA from 1 species
AUUGAACGCUGGCGGAAUGCUUUACACAUGCAAGUCGAACGGUAGAGGGGGCAACCCCUCGAGAGUGGCGAACGGGUGAGUAAUAUAUCGGAACGUGCCCAGUCGUGGGGGAUAACGUAGCGAAAGUUACGCUAAUACCGCAUACGAUCUAAGGAUGAAAGCGGGGGAUCGCAAGACCUCGCGCGAUUGGAGCGGCAGAUAUCAGAUUAGGUAGUUGGUGGGGUAAAGGCUCACCAAGCCAACGAUCUGUAGCUGGUCUGAGAGGACGACCAGCCACACUGGAGCUGAGACACGGUCCAGACUCCUACGGGAGGCAGCAGUGGGGAAUUUUGGACAAUGGACGCAAGUCUGAUCCAGCCAUUCCGCGUGCAGGAUGAAGGCCCUCGGGUUGUAAACUGCUUUUGUACGGAACGAAAAGGUCUCUCUUAAUACGGGGGGCUCAUGACGGUACCGUAAGAAUAAGCACCGGCUAACUACGUGCCAGCCGCCGCGGUAA